GACGAACGCUGGCGGCGUGCUUAACACAUGCAAGUCGAGCGGUAAGGCCCUUUCGGGGGUACACGAGCGGCGAGCGGGUGAGUAACACGUGGGUGACCUGCCCUCAGCUCUGGAAUAAGCCUGGGAAACUGGGUCUAAUACUGGAUAUGACUCCACGGUGCAUGUCGUGGGGUGGAAAGCCUUGUGCGGCUGAGGAUGGGCCCGCGGCCUAUCAGCUUGUUGGUGGGGUGAUGGCCUACCAAGGCGACGACGGGUAGCCGGCCUGAGAGGGCGACCGGCCACACUGGGACUGAGACACGGCCCAGACUCCUACGGGAGGCAGCAGUGGGGAAUCUUGCGCAAUGGGCGAAAGCCUGACGCAGC
rnacentral:rRNA from 1 species